AUACGUAGGGGGCGAGCGUUGUCCGGAUUUACUGGGUGUAAAGGGCGAGUAGGCGGGCUUGCAAGUCAGAUGUGAAAUACCGAGGCUCAACUUCGGGGCUGCAUUUGAAACUGCGAGUCUUGAGUGAUGGAGAGGCAGGCGGAAUUCCCAGUGUAGCGGUAAAAUGCAUAGAUAUUGGGAAGAACACCAGUGGCGAAGGCGGCCUGCUGGACAUUAACUGACGCUGAGGAGCGAAAGUGUGGGGAGCAAACAGGAUUAGAUACCCUGGUAGUCCACACCGUAAACGAUGGAUACUAGGUGUGCGGGGACUGACCCCCUGCGUGCCGCAGUUAACACAAUAAGUAUCCCACCUGGGGAGUACGAUCGCAAGAUUGAAACUCAAAUGAAUUGACGGGG
rnacentral:rRNA from 1 species